UGAAUAGCUGGGACUACAGGUGUGUGCCACU
rnacentral:piRNA from 1 species